rnacentral:rRNA from 1 species
GACGAACGCUGGCGGCGUGCUUAACACAUGCAAGUCGAACGAAGUGGCGAACGGGUGAGUAACGCGUAAUCAACCUGCACUUCAGAGGGGGACAACAGUUGGAAACGACUGCGAAUACCGCAUACAGAAGGAGGGGAUGGCGUCUGAUUAGCUAGUGGGAGGGGUACCGGCCCACCAAGGCGAUGAUCAGUAGCCGUUCUGGGAGGAUGAACGGCCACAUUGGGACUGAGACACGGCCCAUACUCCUACGGGAGGCAGCAGUGGGGAAUCUUCCGCAAUGGACGAAAGUCUGACGGAGCAACGCCGCGUGAGUGAUGACGGCCUUCGGGUUGUAAAGCUCUGUUAAUCGGGACGCGGUACCGGAAUAGAAAGCCACGGCUAACUACGUGCCAGCAGCCGCGGUAAUAC